rnacentral:rRNA from 1 species
UACGGGGGGAGCAAGCGUUGUUCGGAUUUACUGGGCGUAAAGGGCGCGUAGGCGGCGUGACUAGUCACUUGUGAAAUCUCCGGGCUUAACUCGGAACGGUCAAGUGAUACUGUCGUGCUAGAGUACAGAAGGGGCAACUGGAAUUCUCGGUGUAGCGGUGAAAUGCGCAGAUAUCAGGAGGAACACCGGUGGCGAAGGCGGGUCUCUGGGCCGAUACUGACGCUGAGGAGCGAAAGCGUGGGGAGCGAACAGG